GUGAGCUUACAAUCUAAAGGAGCAAGUAAUGAUGGGCGAGUAAACAGUAGCAGGGACUUUUUUCAAUGUACAGUCAGAUUUUUUUAUAAAGGGGCCUCUCCGAGGCGGAGACGACUUUUGCAGGUUUGUAAUUUGGACACAGAGGGGGCAAGGUCAAUGGAAAGGAGUUGCCAAAUUAAAAUUAGUGUCAUCAGAUUCAAGUUCUUG